rnacentral:rRNA from 1 species
CCUACGGGAGGCAGCAGUAAGGAAUAUUGGUCAAUGGAGGCAACUCUGAACCAGCCAUGCCGCGUGCAGGAAGACGGCCCUAUGGGUUGUAAACUGCUUUUGAACUAGAGAAAACCUUGGUACGCGUACCGAGUUGAUAGUAUAGUUAGAAUAAGCAUCGGCUAACUUCGUGCCAGCAGCCGCGGUAAGACGAAGGAUGCAAGCGUUAUCCGGAUUCAUUGGGUUUAAAGGGUGCGUAGGCGGACUGAUAAGUCAGUGGUGAAAUCUCUCAGCUUAACUGAGAAACUGCCAUUGAUACUGUUAGUCUAGAGUACAGAUGAUGUGGGCGGAAUAUGACAUGUAGUGGUGAAAUACUUAGAUAUGUCAUAGAACACCGAUUGCGAAGGCAGCUCACAAAACUGUAACUGACGCUGAGGCACGAAAGUGCGGGGAUCAAACAGGAUUAGACUACCCUGGUAGUCCGCACCGUAAACG